GACGAACGCUGGCGGCGUGCUUAACACAUGCAAGUCGAACGGAAAGGCCCUGCUUUUGUGGGGUGCUCGAGUGGCGAACGGGUGAGUAACACGUGAGUAACCUGCCCUUGACGUUGGGAUAACUUCAGGAAACUGGGGCUAAUACCGGAUAGGAGCGCCUGCUGCAUGGUGGGGGUUGGAAAGCUUCGGCGGAUGGGGAUGGACUCGCGGCUUAUCAGCUUGUUGGUGGGGUAGUGGCUUACCAAGGCAUUGACGGGUAGCCGGCCUGAGAGGGUGACCGGCCACAUUGGGACUGAGAUACGGCCCAGACUCCUACGGGAGGCAGCAGUGGGGAAUAUUGCACAAUGGGCGGAAGCCUGAUGCAGCAACGCCGCGUGCGGGAUGACGGCCUUCGGGUUGUAAACCGCUUUCGCCUGUGACGAAGCGUGAGUGACGGUAAUGGGUAAAGAAGCACCGGCUAACUACGUG
rnacentral:rRNA from 1 species